rnacentral:rRNA from 1 species
GAGCGAACGCUGGCGGCAGGCCUAACACAUUCAAGUCGAACGAACUCUUCGGAGUUAGUGGCGGACGGGUGAGUAACACGUGGGAACGUGCCUUUAGGUUCGGAAUAACUCAGGGAAACUUGUGCUAAUACCGAAUGUGCCCUUCGGGGGAAAGAUUUAUCGCCUUUAGAGCGGCCCGCGUCUGAUUAGCUAGUUGGUGAGGUAAAGGCUCACCAAGGCGACGAUCAGUAGCUGGUCUGAGAGGAUGAUCAGCCACAUUGGGACUGAGACACGGCCCAAACUCCUACGGGAGGCAGCAGUGGGGAAUCUUGCGCAAUGGGCGAAAGCCUGACGCAGCCAUGCCGCGUGAAUGAUGAAGGUCUUAGGAUUGUAAAAUUCUUUCACCGGGGACGAUAAUGACGGUACCCGGAGAAGAAGCCCCGGCUAACUUCGUG